rnacentral:rRNA from 1 species
UACGGGGGGGGCAAGCGUUGCUCGGAAUUACUGGGCGUAAAGGGCUCGUAGGUGGCCAACUAAGUCAGACGUGAAAUCCCUCGGCUUAACCGGGGAACUGCGUCUGAUACUGGAUGGCUUGAGUUCGGGAGAGGGAUGCGGAAUUCCAGGUGUAGCGGUGAAAUGCGUAGAUAUCUGGAGGAAUACCGAUGGCGAAGGCAGGUCUCUGGGCUGACACUGACGCUCAUGCACGAAAGCGUGGGGAGCAAACAGG